UCAGUCGGUCGGGCAGCCGCGCCUGUCAUAUGCCGAAAGGCGGCAGGUGAGGAAAGUCCGGGCUCCAUGGAAACACGGUGCCGGGUAACGCCCGGCGGGGGCGACCCCAGGGAAAGUGCCACAGAAAGCAAACCGCCCCGUCUUCCGUGUUGUUGCAACGGCAACAGCAGGGAUGACGGGGUAAGGGUGAAAGGGUGGGGUAAGAGCCCACCGCGCCUGCGGCAACGCAGGCGGCACGGUAAACCCCACCGGGAGCAAAACCGAAUAGGGACGGCGCGUCAGCCCGAAAGGGUUGGCAAAUCUGUUUCCGGAUUGGCCGUCCGGGUGGGUUGCAAGAGGCGGGUGGUGACAUCCGUCCCAGAUGAAUGGCUGCCACGCUGGAUGAAAAUCCGGCCAUACAGAACCCGGCUUACAGACCGGCUGACACU
rnacentral:RNase_P_RNA from 1 species